AGAUACAGAAUGCAGUAUACUCUCGGGAUAACAGAUCAAAGAAAUAUUUCCGGAAAUUCGAAGAACCAUUGGCAGUGGCUGAAUUUUCUCAGACGCUGCGAACAUACUUUGCAGCAGACGACAAUAUCCACACUUCAACAAACGGAAAAGCACUUGACCGCGCUCUUGUGGACUUCGAGAUCAAAUAAUAUGCGAGCGUAUUUUUGUUACGCCUGAGGAUAGAUCAGCUUUUUUCGACAUCGGGAACAAGACAAAGCCUGAGAUCCAGAAAAUUAUAGAUAAUCUAAUAAAGGACAUAGACCCAGCUGGUGGCGAUGAGGAGGCAGAAGUUUUGAGGGUUCAGUGGAAUUCAGAAGUGAAGAAUGGAACAAAGAGUGUCUUUCUUACUUUUUACAGUGAUGUGGUAAAGUGUUUAGAGGAAAUUACUAACAGAAAAGAAUCUGCAGAAGCUGAUUGUGGGGACAUGGACUAGUGAGAUGUAAAUGUGUUACCUGGACUAUCUGUUCCAUGGGUGGCUUUUGGGGUACACCGUCUACGACUUCAAGCCCUGCCUCUUUACUGCUGAAAUAUUCGUCCCUGAUGAUUAAUUCUAUAGGAUCCCCGGUUAGUGUUGCAUAUUCCAAU
rnacentral:lncRNA from 1 species